rnacentral:rRNA from 1 species
UACGUAGGGGGCAAGCGUUGUCCGGAUUUAUUGGGCGUAAAGGGCUCGUAGGCGGUUUGUCGCGUCGGGAGUGAAAACCAUGGGCUUAACUCAUGGCUUGCUUCCGAUACGGGCAGACUAGAGGUAUGCAGGGGAGAACGGAAUUCCUGGUGUAGCGGUGAAAUGCGCAGAUAUCAGGAGGAACACCGGUGGCGAAGGCGGUUCUCUGGGCAUUACCUGACGCUGAGGAGCGAAAGUGUGGGGAGCGAACAGG